GCCGACUGUAAAAUAUCCUCCAGAAGUUCGCCCUUCACGGCAGACCGUAUUUCCCCAACUAAAAGCCAAACCAAACGAUGAACAAACUUGAAAUCCCCCUCCCGGUUUCCUCUCUUCGCACCUCCGCCCUGAAGGAUCGACGCUCCGGCAGGCCAAGGUUUGGGCUCCCCCUCCCUUCUCCGUCAAUCCACUCGCGGAUUAUCUUGUGCGCGGCUUAAUCGUUGCUGUGUGCUGGUCUUUCCCGUGGAGGACUUGCUCUGGGGACUGGGGUUAGGUUUUCAGGCGUCGUCUGCGAUUCUCGGUUGUUCCUGUCUCCACGAGUUGGUCGUCCCCAAGGAAUGCGAGUCUGGACUGGAUACACUCCUUCGCUUUUGUUCUGUGUGAUAAAAGAUUUAUAGCUUAUAAUAUCACAGCAAUGUAUACAACUGUGCAAACAUACUUUAUCUUAGGUUUUUUAAAACAGUUUCCGCUUAUUUUUCAGUGCCAUUUAGAAGAUGUUGGUGGCCAGAGAACAAAGCAAGUCACCGACCCAUGCUCAAGGUCUGCUGGAAUAUACACUAAAACUUCAUGCUGUGCCAUUUAGAAGAUGUGUUGGUGGCCAGAGAACAAAGCAAGUCACCAACCCAUGCUCAAGGUCUGCUGGAAUAUACACUAAAACUUCAUGCUGUUGGACAAUCAAGAAGCUGGUUUGCUACAAAGCUUUGUAGCAUCAAGUAGAUACUUUGGAAUGUUCUCGCAGCCUCCAUCUUCAGAUCAGCAACAGUAGCUGUUUGCGGAAGUGUUAAAAGUUCUGCUGGGAGGCUGGGUGGAUCACCAACCUGAUCCAAUAGCUCCACUUGGCACCAGAUGUGCAGCACAGAUUGGUUUUGAGUGAUAUUGUUGCCUUAUUAGAUUGCAAAUACUGAACAUUGGUGAUAAAACCAACCUUGUCUCAAACAAUUGAACCAUCAGGCCACAACGCCGGCAGGUUUUGCAGCUGGCCGUUUUGUCAUUCCGAAUUAUGAAGUGAAACUUCUUCCCACAAACUGGGUGCCUGCUCCAGCCUAUCAGAGUUGAACAAAUUAAUGACAUCAAUUUGGCUCCAAGAUGUAAUUCAACAGUCAUGGUCAUGCCAUUAUCUAUUUGUCAGGAGAUGUGGCUUUAAGUUCCCGAACAGGUAGUUCAUCAAUUUAUAAUGAAUUACGUGUUAAACUUGAAAGAGUGAGGCUAUUAGGAAUAGGCUGUUCAUUUUGACAGCCUCUGUUCCCUCUCA